rnacentral:rRNA from 1 species
CGAAAGCCUGACGGAGCAAGACCGCGUGAGGGAGGAAGGCUCUUGGUUUGUAAACCUCUUUUCUCAGGGAAGAAGCACUGACGGUACCUGAGGAAUCAGCAUCGGCUAACUCCGUGCCAGCAGCCGCGGUAAUACGGAGGAUGCAAGCGUUAUCCGGAUUUAUUGGGCGUAAAGCGUCCGCAGGUGGUAGUUCAAGUCGAUUGUCAAAGGCAGUAGCUUAACUACUGAGAGGCAGUGGAAACUGAAAGACUAGAGUGCGGUAGGGGUAGAGGGAAUUCCCGGUGUAGCGGUGAAAUGCGUAGAGAUCGGGAAGAACACCAGUGGCGAAAGCGCUCUGCUGGACCGGCACUGACACUGAGGGACGAAAGCUAGGGGAGCG